AGUGAACGCUGGCGGUAGGCCUAACACAUGCAAGUCGAACGGCAGCACAGUAAGAGCUUGCUCUUACGGGUGGCGAGUGGCGGACGGGUGAGGAAUACAUCGGAAUCUACUUUUUCGUGGGGGAUAACGUAGGGAAACUUACGCUAAUACCGCAUACGACCUACGGGUGAAAGCAGGGGAUCUUCGGACCUUGCGCGAUUGAAUGAGCCGAUGUCGGAUUAGCUAGUUGGCGGGGUAAAGGCCCACCAAGGCGACGAUCCGUAGCUGGUCUGAGAGGAUGAUCCGCCACACUGGAACUGAGACACCGUCCAGACUCCUACGGGAGGCAGCAGUGGGGAAUAUUGGCCAAUGGGCGCAAGCCUGCUCCAGCCAUACCGCGUGGGUGAAGAAGGCCUUCGGGUUGUAAAGCCCUUUUGUUGGGAAAGACAAGCAGCAGGUUAAUACCCCGCUGUUCUGACGGUACCCAAAGAAUAAGCACCGGCUAACUUCGUG
rnacentral:rRNA from 1 species